CGCCGGGUGGUGCAAUGGUAAGCGCGCCGGUCCACACUACCACCACCAUUCCUAAGGUGCUUCCCAAGGUGGUAGAUUUCCUAAUAGGCAUUUCCUAACCCGCCUACGUGGACCGGAGAUGAGGGUUCAAAUCCCUCCCCGGCGA